AGACAACAGUUUAAUGAUUAAAAGAAGACAAAGAAGACAAACCGGAGCACAGAGACUAACGAGGGACAGGUGACAGUGGCUGCCGAGGAAUGGAUGAAUCGAACCAGGCAGGAAGGAAAACAAGACAGAACAUCUACAACAGGAAACUAACACAACUCCUUGGACCAUGACAUUAGCUGUCGUUGGAAUCGGCAGAUAAAGGCUUUCAAAUGAAAAUAAGACGACGCAUAUAGGUGCAGGUGACGCAAACCAUUGACGGAGAGGGUCAGGGGCAGCCGGUCACCUCAGUAAACAGUCAACCAUGAUGGCAUUUCUCACAGCAUGAAUUGGUCUGGUGGAGAGCAUACGUUUACUUACUCACAGCUCUUCUUCUCUAACUUGGUUUAAGUCACUGCAUCUCAGAACAGAACAGCACCACGGUUGAGUUAAAGCCUGCAAGCUUGUUUAUUCAGCCUAAGCUUUGUUAAAACAGAGCAGCUAAUAAUGGAUGCAAGAGCAACAAGUUGCUGGAUUGAGAAGAGUAGAGAACCCAGCACCACAUGGCAGCAAAACAAAGUGAAGACCUUGUUGUUUUCAAGGUCAAGAGAGAAUCUCUACGACGACCCCACGGGGUGUCCCAACUCUGACCUUCCGUGCCAUUGAUAUGUGUUGGUGAGCUCUCUUGUGGAUUCCCUUAUUUUUGCAUCGGUUGUAAAAAAAAAAAGCAUUUCAUGUUCAUUUCUAUGCGUGUGAUUUUUUUCAUGUGCAAAGGCUGCAGGUCAUACAGCUUCUCAAUCAUGACGGAUCUAUGAAACAGUAUUUGCAUGUUUGAUAUUUUAAAAAAAGUGUUUAUACGUGUUCUCAUUCCAGUUAUACGUAUUUAUUACUGCCAUCAGAUUGCACCCCAAGUCCUGAGCUGAACACACUCACACACAAGCCGCAUGCAUCAUGCAUAUUUCAUGUAUGUAAAGCAGGCAAAUAAGUCAAACGUAUGCAGCGUAACCACUUAACAGAGCUUGCACAUUUGUCUUAAUGAUUGUAAAAUAUCGUGUGCAUGUGUGAUGAUGCUUUGAUUAGAUAUUCUCAGUGCAAUAAUGGCUGCAUGUACCAUUCUGUCCUUUAAAUCCAUGUGUUUAUUUUCAUAAUACAGUCAAAGUUGAGGUACUUAGACAUGACUGAAGUCAGUUUCCCUGUUUAAUUGCUGGAUGUCUUUGUCGUCUUAAUUAUACACUAAUACUGUAAUAAUGUGUCACGCUGGUUUAAGUGUGUUUGUCUCGAGAUGAUACUGGAGGUCACACUCCUGCAGUCCUGAUAUCCACCACAUCACAUGUGCGUGUUCAUGUUGCUGGUCCAAUAUGCAGUCCAAUACUGCAGCCUUUUUUGGACGGGGAGCGCGCUUCCAAAUCUACCCUCCCGCUGCGCUCGCUCCCCGUGCCUUUAAAAAAAGAGCGUGCACGGCUGAAGGUCACUUAAACACAAAAGGCUUUCAGCGCUGCGGUCCAAUAUAGCGCAUGCGCGCUGCCGGGGGACUGCUUCACAGACCGCAAUAUGGCGAGAAUGCCUGCCAGCGGAGACACGGAGCAGGAGCGGAUGAGCUGCCCCGAGAGGCGCAUGGAGGAGGGUAACGAGGAGGAGGAUGAAGAGGAGAUCCAGGAGGUCCAGAUCACCGGGGAGGAAGAGGAAGAGGACGAGGAGUCUGAUAGAGAGGGUGUGGAGCUGGAGUGGGAGUCAGGAGGCACAGUGCUGGGCUCCAGCGGUUCCGCCGCGGAGAUGCGAGCGGUCGUUAUGCGGAGUAUGGACCGGGAAGAGGAGGAGGGGGAGGCGGAAAUCUUCGGCAGCAGCAGCGUGCCCACGAGGCUGGAGUCUCACCUGGAGGGAGACCUUCACCGGUGUGAGCGGAACAAGCUGAGCGAGAACACCCGCCUGGCCACCCGGUACGCGGUGAGGAUCUUCAGGGAGUACCUCAGCGAGAAAGCCCAAAGUCCAGACUUUGAAACUCUGGACAAGGAGGCGCUCUGCGCGGUGCUGCGCUCCUUUUACGCGGAGGCGCGCUCCAAAAGUGGACAGUUGUACAGCAAGUCGUCCCUCAUUAGCAUCCGGAGCUCCCUGAAUCGGUACCUCAACGAGCCGCCCUACUGCCGCACCUUGGACCUCACCAAGGACCCGGAGCUGCGCAGCGCCAACCUGACCCUGGCCGCGGUCAUACGGAGGCUGGAGGAGCAAGGCGCCGGUCCCGUGGUGCAGAAACAAGCCAUCACGCGCUCGGACCUGCGGAAACUGUACGAGUCCUGCGUGUUCAACACCGACACGCCGUUCGGGCUGCUCAACAAAGUCUGGUUCGAGACCUGCAUGUAUUUCUGCACACGGGGCCGGGAGAACCAGCGGGAGCUGGAGGAGGACUCGUUCGGUCUGGCGGUGGACGAGGACGGGAGAAAGUUUAUCUAUUUCAAAGCUCUCGGACCGUACCACAAGUCCCGCUCCGCUGCCUGGACCAAGAAGCGUCCGGACGCGGACGAGGACACCUUGCCGCGGAUGUACGAGACCGGCUCGGAGCAGUGUCCGUACGCCAGCUUCGCCCGCUACGUGUCGAAGCGGAACCCGCUCUGCAGGGCGUUCUUCCAGCGGCCGCGGGACCACUGCUGCGCGAGCGACGUGACGUGGUACGAGAACAAAGCUAUCGGUAAGAACCUGUUGGGCACGAGGAUGCAGAUGUUGUCGCGCGCUGCCAAGCUCUCCAAGACCUACACCAACCACUGCAUCGGUGCAGUCUCCAUAGCAACGCUCAACAGCAUCGUGGGCGCCGCGGGCUCCAGGUCGACGACGCUUUACGUUGCCACGGAAACGGUCAACGGCCACGCGCAGGCUCACCUCCAGCUCGUGAUUCCGUACCUUCGCCGGGUAUCCGACGUUGCGGGUCUGAAGCCGGCAGCAGCGACAAUAAACACAUCAUCAACAACAACAACAACAACAACAACAACGAAGAACAAAGUCAGCGCCGAGGAGGACCCGGGGGCUCCUCACGCCAAGAGGCUGUGCGUGCGCCCCGGGACACGCGCAGAGUCGCCUGGAGAGCGGAACGAGAGCGAGUCGGUCCCUGCGAGAGCCACGGAGUCCCGUAUAAACACCCAGCCAGACACACAGGACAACUGUAUGUCCAGUCGGCAGCAGGUCUCUGCGUCUCCUCUGGGCUCCUCCGGCAUCCCCGCACCAGCCCAGCUCACCAAAGCCAACGCACCCGUCCACAUCGAUGUAGGAGGACACAUGUACACUAGCAGCCUCGCCACCCUUACAAAGUACCCCGAGUCACGGAUCGGCCGUCUGUUCGAGGGAACGGAGCCCAUCGUGUUGGACAGUCUUAAGCAGCACUACUUCAUCGAUCGGGAUGGACCCAUGUUCCGCUACAUACUUAACUUCCUUCGGACCUCCAAACUUCUCAUCCCCGAUGACUUCAAAGUGAGUGUCUAGAGCUUUGAUCAGGAAUACUCCCUGCUGUACGAAGAGGCCGGUUUCUUUCAGCUGACUCCUCUGCAGGCUGAGCUGCAGCGCUGGAGGACGGAGCAGGAAUGCGGGGGGGCGUCUCUGGAGUGCGAGUGUGUUGUGAUUCAUGUGGCCCCAGAGCUCGGUGAGAGGAUCAGCGUGAGCGCCCACCGGGCCGUGAUCGAGGAGGUUUUUCCUGAGGUCAGAGACGUCAUAUCCAAUUCCCUGAACAGCAGCUGGAACCAGGACUCCGCGCACAUCAUUCGCUUCCCGCUAAACAGCUCCUGCCACCUCAACUCUAUCCAGGUGUUGGAGCAGCUACAGCAGAGAGGGUUCUGGAUCACAGGUUCAUGUGGCGGUGGAGUCGACUCUUCCCAGUUUAGUGAAUACAUUCUACGAAGGGAAAGCCGAAGCAGAAGCAGAAGCAGCCGAUACCCCCCGACCCUCAUCCGAAUAAAAAAGGAAUUUAAGGACUGAACAAACAGAAGUCCCCCUGUUUGCACACAUAUCAGCGACUGUUUCUCUUACAGACAACAGAUUAACUUCAGCAUAACAUACUGAGCAGACAUGAGUACACAGAAUCUCUUACGCCAGUGAAUAUACUCUAUAGUUGACUUCUUCUUCUUUGACACUGUGCCGCAUAGAUUUUCACACAGCAAUAUCAUUACAGUAAAAACAUGGAUCCAUUGGUGCAGGGAUCUGCAGGGGAUCAUGGGAAUUGGAUCCUAAAUUGGAGGUACACUGGCAUUAACAUUUCUAUUGAUAUGAAAUGGAGGCUGGUACUUUGGGAUGUGCAGUAUUGAUAGUCUUUUAUCACGACUCAUGUCAUUUUAUAUUGCGAUAUAGUCCUUGGAAUUCCUUUGAGAAAUCGUUGAUAGAUAACAUAAAACAAUGCUAAUUUUUUGUUUUGAGCUGAUACAUUGAAUUAAAUACCUAAAAACAGGUACUGCAUCACAUUGAUGCACACAUUCUGUAAAUUGAUACUGCCAUAGAACAGUCCUGUGAUUUCCAAUAUUGACCACAUCAUCAUAAUACCACAAUGAUUAAAGGUAGAGCUAUUACAUAUCUCUUCAUCAUCAUAUUGUCCAACCCAACCAUUAUUAAUUUCUACCAUGUUUUCAGACCACUGACUGAGGUUCUAAUUGUGCCAUGUCAACAUUAAUAAAUGCAUUAACUUUCACAUC